rnacentral:lncRNA from 1 species
GCCUAAAUAAGCUAAAAGGUGUCACUGCAGCUGGAUUUUGACAGAAAACAUAAUAGGCUAUGCUUCAUAAAAAUAAUGGCACCUUAGGAUUGCACUAUUUUGUUCAUUAUUUUAUAUGCCAUUUCAUAGCCUGCACUUUAAUCUCCAAAGAAACUAUGUAUGAUGUCCCAGUUGUUUCUUAUUAUUAAUAAACUUGUUCCUAGCAGGGCACUUAGUUCUAUUUUAUUAUGCUGAACUGGUUUCCUGGAAAGUGGAUUCCUUUCCUGAGUUCCCUUAUUUCCGUAGCUGUGAUAUUUUCUAGGACUUGGGAACCCCUUUCAUCUGUUUCCAGCAGUAUAUGAUUUGAUGUAGUGUAAUGUAAACCUCAUCCUCGGUGAUCAGCACAUGCUUAGAUCCUCUUCUGUAGUGAGCACCAGUUUGUUCUGAAAUUGAUGCUGUGCGUGAGAUUCGAAGGCAGGAGGGGACAGAAGGCAUCUUGAGACGUCCUGCGGCAGCAGUUACUGGGAAAAGGCUGGUUCUGUAGGAAAACCAGCUCUUUGGCUGGGGGUCUGUCUGAAUUUCUUUACCUGGUACACAGAAGGCUAAUGGCCUGCCAUCUGCAGUAAAUUACUUUCCAAAGUCCUGAGCCUGCAGAAGGAGACUUAGUACUGGGUUGGCCAGUGCCUGCUGUGCUCUCACUUGGAGUAACAGUAGUUAUAUAGGUGUCAGGCCUCUUGCAACUUUCCAAGAAUCUUGGUUCAAUUUCUGAAAUUCAGAAGUUACGUCCAAAGUUUUCCUGUUGUGUCUGAAGGAAACCAUGAGGUUUGGAAUCUUAGCAGUAACCUCUGUAUCAGAUAUGUUGCCAAAGCCUGGCGGACCAUACCUAAACCACCAAAAGUUGAGACGUGUCUAGCAUUCCUUGCUGUGCUGCCGUUUGUUUACCUGUGCUUAUGAGCAACAAUAAAACACUAGUUUACCUUCUGGAAUUUAAUUGUUUUGACUGAUCGAUUGGAAAAUGAAAAGCACCUCCCAGUUACACAACAGGGUACAUAAAUAAAUGUGUUGUCACCAGUG